rnacentral:rRNA from 1 species
UACGUAGGGGGCAAGCGUUGUCCGGAUUUAUUGGGCGUAAAGAGCUCGUAGGCGGUUCCGUAAGUCGAGUGUGAAAAAUCUGGGCUCAACCCAGUGGAGCACUCGAUACUGCGGUGACUAGAGUACGGUAGAGGAGUGUGGAAUUCCUGGUGUAGCGGUGAAAUGCGCAGAUAUCAGGAAGAACACCCGUGGCGAAGGCGGCUCUCUGGGACGGUACUGACGCUGAGACGCGAAAGCGUGGGGAGCGAACAGG